CCGGGGCCCGCGAGCCGGAUGCCCCGGGCUCUCUGUGGCCUGGGCUCCAGCCAGCGACCUGCCCGCCCCAGGCCGCCUCGGCGAACCUUGUUUCCUCCCGAAUCUCCAACCACAGUUCAGCAGCUUGGGCCACGCGCCGUGCUCCCCUUGGCCUUAAAAAACGUUAUAAAUAGAGUAGUGUGGGGAAAGCUUCACACGGGAAACCAAAUAACAAUAAAGCGUUGGGCUAGGUACUUUGUUGCAGUGAGUGUCUGGAAGAUUCUGCCGUUGUAGAAACGCCCCUGCAGAAUCCCGCCGGAAUCUCACAGGACUGCCCGUCACUCGCUGGGUUGGGAGAAGAGACUUUGCUCCCUUAAAUGAAUGGGGUGACACAACACUCGAAGGCAUCAGGCGCCCUAACACACCCGGCCCUUGCAGCAGGGCGCUCGGGGGAGCCGGAGUGUGGCCCCAGCGCACAGUUUGGAAAGACUGGUGCCCGGCAAGAGAGACCGGCAGAAAAAGUGCCAGGUGGGCAGGCUGGGAAGGAGCUCAGCCUAGAGGCCCACGAGGGCUAGUCGCGGCCUGGGCGGACCCGGCUCGUUCGUCGCGCGUGUACCGCGGGGCGCCGGCGUGCGGAGGUGAACCGACAGGCCGGCCUCUGCUCUCGCUGAGCCGGGGAUCUAGUGUCUUUGGGGACUGCAAACAAACUGCUUAAACGUCAUGCAGAUCACAGUUCCCUAAGCUGAGUGACUCUGUGGAACCAACAUAAUUAGAAGCAGAACCAUUGACCCUUAAGCUUGGUGGAAGAUUCUGGAAUACUCUUUUCUUGUGGUAAUGAAAGCUGUUCAAAGACCAUCUGACCUCUCUGUGACUCUGAGAGUGGAAACAGGGGAACGUCACCCUCCUUCUCACCUGGAAAGGGAACAUUCAGUCCUUCUCCUCCCAUCUGAAACAUCCACAGGACACUGGAUUCUUUGGGAAAGAUCACCAAAAAAGAAGGAAGAUGUGACAUUUAGCAGAAAAAUCUGGAGAAUUUAAAGUUCAUCUAAUGGUGUCUGGAAGCCUAGAUCUGGAAGAGCUGGCUUUCCUCUUCGAUCACCCAGAGUAUCAUUUCACAAAACUUGCAAGGAAGAGAGUGCACAGACUCAGUGAUUCAGGGGACUGGAAUCCCCCUUUCUCUUGAGGGAGCUAACGGAGGAGAACAAAGGCAUCGCCAUCCUGAGAGCAUUUGUGAAGGACUCAUACAGACUGAGAGCUGCACAGAGUCUGGUGACCUUUUCCUGCCCUGGAGACUCUCAGUUUUGUCAUUUUGAUGAAUCUCU